rnacentral:lncRNA from 1 species
ACAUGGAGACAAGCUUUUGAAGAAAACUGAAUCUGCAGAGCAAAGGCUUAGCUUUACAUGGCGCAAAGAAUUUUGAGAUAAUUUUCCAGGAGGAGGAAUUUAAGAACAGUUGUUUUCAUCUCAGGUGGGACUACUUGCGUGGGAGGUUCCUCUUUAUCUGAGAAGGCACCAAGCAAGUUUGGGGAGGAUAUCUGGAGAGACUUUGGGGAUGUGACUACAGGGAGAAGAAGGACAAGAGUCGCAGUGGGCAGCUGGGAAAUUGUCACUGAAGCAGAGAUAAAGACUGUAGAGAGGAG